rnacentral:rRNA from 1 species
GACGAACGCUGGCGGCGUGCUUAACACAUGCAAGUCGAACGGAAAGGCCCCUUUGGGGGUACUCGAGUGGCGAACGGGUGAGUAACACGUGAGUAACCUGCCCUUGACUUCGGGAUAACUUCAGGAAACUGGGGCUAAUACCGGAUAGGAAUCCUUGCUGCAUGGUGGGGGUUGGAAAGCUUCGGCGGUUUUGGAUGGACUCGCGGCUUAUCAGCUUGUUGGUGGGGUAGUGGCUUACCAAGGCUUUGACGGGUAGCCGGCCUGAGAGGGCGACCGGCCACAUUGGGACUGAGAUACGGCCCAGACUCCUACGGGAGGCAGCAGUGGGGAAGAUUGCACAAUGGGCGGGAGCCUGAUGCAGCAACGCCGCGGGCGGGAGGACGGCCUUCGGGUUGUAAACCGCUUUCAGCAGGGGCGAAGCUUGUGGUGACGGUACCUGCAGAAGAAGCACCGGCUAACUACGUG